CGGGCUCCUGAAAGAGGAAGGAUGCCGGACUGCGACCGGGUAGAGGGUGCUGUCUGCCUGGGCCUUGGUCUCCAGGAAUCCCGAUAUCGCCCGAUGAUUCCGGGAGGAAUGACGAGCUGACAUUUUCGAUAUCAGAACCCAGGUCCAGUCCUCCAGUGUGAUUGAAAGACCAGCAGUUCUCCAGGAAUCCUCAAAACCUUCAGCUGAGAUUUCUGAGACACCUUCAUGGACUGAAGGGCUAUCGGGUUCUAAUCCUAUCCAUCAUGCAAAUGACCAUUCUUAGGCUACCUAGUCUCUACCAUGUAAACCAACCUAAUAAAUCUCUUUCUAUCAUAUA